GGCGGAAGGUCCCCGGGGCCUCCCGCGCGCACGGGGCGCUCCCUGCCCCCACUCUCUCUCCACCUGGGGCUUCUUUUCCCUGAGGAGAAGCAGGAACUUAGCUCCGAUCAUGGCUGGUCUUCAGAAAGAAUUUUUUUUUUUUUUCAAUUUUCUUUCUUUCUUUCUUUCUUUUUUUUUAAUUUUUUUUAAAAUUUUAUUCUAAUGAUGGUACCUGUGCAGCUUCCAGACUUGCUAGAGCCAUGGUCAGAAAACUGGUAGCCUCCAAAGCAAAGCUGUAAGUUUGGCAAGAUGUUCUGCCUGUAACUGAUACUCAGAGAGGUUAAAUGUGACAUUACAGCUAGUAACUGGCAGAGAUGAGAUUUGGAUCCAAAUCUACUGACCAAACAAAUCACUGUUCCAUGCUGUUUGACACUCCCACUGACCCAUGCCUCCACCUGACCUGCCUCUUGAGAUAUCUGUAUGCAGGUCAGGAAGCAACAGUCAGAACUAGACAUGGAACAACGGACUGAUUCCAAAUCGGGAAAGGAGUAUGUCAAGUCUGUAUAUUGUCACCCUGCUUAUUUAACUUCUAUGAAGAGUACAUCAUGAGAAAUUCUGGGCUGGAUGAAGCACAAGCUGGAAUCAAGAUUGCCAGGAGAAAUAUCAAUAAUGUCAGAUAGCAGGUGACACCACCCUUAUAGCAGAAACUGAAGAAGAACUAAAAAGCCUCUUGAUGAAAGUGAAAGAGGAGAGUGAAAAAGUUGGCUUAAAACUCAACAUUCAGAAAACUAAGACCAUGCAUGGCAUCUGGUCCCAUCACUUCAUGGGAAAUAGAUGGGGAAACAGUGGAAACAGUGACAGACUUUAUUAUUUUGGGCUCCAAAAUCACUGCACGUGAUGACUGCAGCCAUGAUUGCUCCUUGGAAGCAAAAACGCUUGCUCCUUAGAAGAAAAGCUAUGACCAACCUAGACAGCAUAUUAAAAAGCAGAGACAUUACUUUGCUAACAAAGGUCCAUCUAGUCAAAGCUACAGUUUUUCCAGUAGUCAUUAUGGAUGUGAAAGUUGGACUAUAAAGAAAGCUGAGCACUGAAGAAUUGAUGCUGUUGAACUAUGGUGUUGGAGAAGACUCUUGAGAGUCCCUUGGACAGCAAGGAGAUCCAACCAGUCCAUCCUAAAGAAAAUCUGUCCUGAAUAUUCAUUGGAAGGACUGAGGCUGAAGCUGAAACUCCAAUACUUUGGCCACCUGAUGCGAAGAACUGACUCAUUUGAAAAGACCCUGAUGUUGGGAAGGAUAGAAGGCGGGAGGAGAAAAUGAUGAGAUGGUUGGAUGGCAUCACCAACUCAAUGGACAUGAGCUUGAGUAAACUCCGGGAGUUGGUGAUGGACAGGGAGGCCUGGCAUGCUGCAGUCCGUGAGGUCUCAAAGAGUUGGACAUGACUGAGUG
ensembl:lncRNA